rnacentral:rRNA from 1 species
AGCAGCCGCGGUAAUUCCAGCUCCAAUAGCGUAUAUUAAAGUUGUUGCAGUUAAAAAGCUCGUAGUUGAAUUUCGGGAUCAAUUUGCUGGUCGUGCCUCUGGUACGUACUGGUAUUAUUGGUUUCUCCCUUCUGACGAACCAUGAUGUCAUUAAUUUGAUGUCGUGGAGAAUCAGGACUGUUACUUUGAAAAAAUUAGAGUGUUUAAAGCAGGCUAACGCUUGAAUACAUUAGCAUGGAAUAAUGAAAUAGGACGUUUGAUCCUAUUUUGUUGGUUUCUAGGAUCGACGUAAUGAUUAAUAGGGAUAGUUGGGGGCAUUAGUAUUCAAUUGUCAGAGGUGAAAUUCUUGGAUUUAUUGAAGACUAACUACUGCGAAAGCAUUUGCCAAGGAUGUUUUCAUUAAUCAAGAACGAAAGUUAGGGGAUCGAAGACGAUCAGAUACCGUCGUAGUCUUAACCAUAAACUAUGCCGACUAGGGAUCGGAUGAUGUUAAUUUUUUAAUGACUCAUUCGGCGCCUUA